rnacentral:lncRNA from 1 species
AUGGCUGAUAUGUGGGGAAUGAGCUUCUUCCCCAGCCCAGAAGCUUUCUGGGCCUUCUACUCCUUCUUGUGGCUGCUACUGAUGGCAGUUGCCUGCUACUUCCUGAUGCCCGGGGCGAAGCCGCAGGAAGGGAGGAAGACAAGGCACCACUGCAGAAGACACCAGGAGAAUCGCAGAGUUUGGACCCUCCACAACUCUUCAUGGUGCAAGAGGAACCAAUGUCCUGAGCAUGCAAAGGUGGAUGGAGUCCAGGAACUAGCCAAACUGUUCAGCAGGAACCUUGAGGACUUCAACAAAUGCAUGGAAAUGCUUGACUUGGAGUUGCCAGAGGACAGCCGUGAGUCUACCACUUCUGACAUAGAGAGUGACACCAGCUGCUCUUCAGUGAUGUCUCUGGACUCUUGGCACACCAUCUCCUGCACUAGUAUCAUGGAGAACAAAAGCACACAGAUUUCAUGGCCAUCUACCCCCACUCCUGUGCAGAAAGCAGACUCACUUCAUGGUUCUGAGGUCCAACCUGGCCUCAUGCAUCCCAAGGCUGGCCCUGGGAAGCAGCGUGACCAUGACACUCGCCCACCCUGCAUGGAAGAGGUGGUCAGAUGCCACAGGGCCAGCAGUGUGCAGCAAAACCAGCAACAUGUCCAGGUCCAGCAGGCUGCUCCCACCCAUCCUCCAGCGGUGCCUAAAUUCCAGUCCACAAAACUGGAGGCACAAAAGGAGACCCAGGAGACCCAGGAGACCUUGGACUGCUUCCCCCCAAAAAAGAAAGAGGAGCAGAAACAGGGCCUGCCAGCUGAUGUGGACAAGCCUUCAAAAGACCCUGCCUCUGCUUCAAAAAUAUCUAAGCGAGCAGAAAAGCCUACUUUGAAGGUGAUUCCCAUGGUGCGGGAAAUGCCCUGUGUGGACAAGACCGUGGAAAGACAUCUGGAGGGGCCUGAUAUACAAAAGAAGAUAAAAAGAUUCUUCAGGAUGACAAGAAAGUUCCUGGCUUCCAUGAAGAGAUUUUUCAGCUACAUCCGGGGGCAAAAAGACUCUCAGACUGAGGCUCCACAGAGGAACACCAGGCAGCGCCACUGCUCACCCUUCCAGCACUUUCAGCAGCACGCUCACACCACAAAGUCGGCAGUGCAGCUGUCAGAGCAGACCCCUGGCCCUCAGCAAGAGGCAGCAGCCCCCAAGGACAAAUUCACCCAGGGGAUGAAGGAGCCUGUCCACUCUGUGCCAGCAACUAUUCCGAAAGUGGCACAAGGGAUGAAGCCUCAGGACGGUGGGGACAAACCCCGACAGAAGACGGGGUGUGGAGGAAGAGCCAACGACAGCAGCACGACCAGCAAGAUGACCCUGCCUGGCACCAGCAAGAAGAACCGGGGCCCUGGGGCAGCAGGGAUUGUUUGCAGUCCUUCCCCUUCCACACAGGCAGAGCAGGCAUCGCCACAGAGCAAGGGAGCUCCACGGGGUCAAUCAGAUAAGAAGGGUGAUGGCCCCAGCAUCUCCGCUACGGGGGACAUGGGGACACCAGCACCUCCAAGAAGAAGGCGCCCACGGAGAAAACACAGCUUCAGUGGGGACAGACCCUCAGCUCUGCCACGACCUCCACACCACGUUUGGAUUGCUCUUGAUAUGCCCCACAUGACAAAGGUCCCUGCAGCACGAAAAGAAUGCCGCAAAGCCAAACAAAAUGAUAAAGAUCUGGAGAAGCAGGUGCAGGCUUCACAGUCGAAGCAACUCCCAGACAAUGCGGGGCAA